GCUCGGAUACAUUCAGAUCAAGGCCGUAACUUUGAGAGCUCCCUCAUCCAGCAGCUCUGUGGUCUCUAUGGGAUCGAGAAAUCUCGCACCACUCCAUACCAUCCGGUGGGCAAUGGCCAGUGUGAACGCUUUAAUAGGACUCUCCACAACUUGUUGCGUACUCUGCCUGUGUCCCGGAAGAGAGAUUGGGAUUCCUGUCUGCCGCAGGUGCUUUAUUGUUAUAACACUACUCCCCAUCAGGCGACUGGGGAAUCUCCUUUUUUCUCAUGUUUGGUCAGGAGCCUAGACUGCCAGUGGAUUUCCUCCUAGGUAGAGUGGCGGAACCUGUGAGUGGAUAUGUCCAUGAGUGGAUUGAAGAACAUCAGACUCGACUACAGUUGGCAUUUGAAGGGGCAAGGGGACGGUUGAAGAUGGCAGCUGAGCGUCGGAAGAAGAACCAUGACCAGCAUGUUCGAGACUGCCCGCUAAGUGAAGGCCAGUUAGUACUCCUCCGUGAUUGCAGUACCAGAGGGCGUCAUAAAAUUCAAGAUUGGUGGAGUUCUGUGAUGUAUCGAGUUCUGAAAGCACCUAAAGCUGGUGGAGCAGUUUAUGCCAUCGUACCUGUGGAUGAUCAGACCUAGGUCAGGCACGUCCAUCGAACCUUGUUGAAGGCCAUAGUAAAUGUCUCCGGUGUCUGCCCUAGUAAUCCUUUGCCUAUGGAGUCAACUUUUGCAUCAGGUGAAUCCUCGGGUGAUGAGGACCUGGUGGUGUUGAGGCAGGGACGCCCUGGGGAGGUGUCUAGUUCUUCAUUGGCUAGGCCAGUGGCGAUGACAUGUGCUACUCAGGAGUCUCCUUUGUGGCCUGCUGAAGUUUCGGGCCCCUCAGUGGUUCCUCCAUCAGUAGUGAGUCAGCCACUUAUUUCCAGAGUGGUCCCAGUAAUGAGUCAGCCUGAUUCCCAGGAAGUGCGAAGGACGACCCGGGUAACUGCAGGCCAACACUUACCACCUUCCGAGGCCUGCAGGGGUGAUGGCAGAAAGGACUGUAAGCUCUCUGGGUUCUGUGUCUAAUGCAGUUUCUGCUCUGUUUAGACCUUGGAGUUAGAUUUUGUAUUAUCGUCGGGUCGACUAUAUAAAAAAAAAAGGGGGUAGAUUGUGGCAGAAUAGCUAUUUUGGGCGCUGUGCCUUUAAAUUUGCGGGGCGAUUAUUGGUUUCCAAGGUAGCACCCUAUAAAAGUGGCAGUGGUUGGCUGGGAAUCUAACGCUGGCAAGGUGUUCUUUUGGUUACCUGACUUCGCUGUUUAAAGAUCUGCAUACGACGGAUUCCUUGGAAGCUACUGCUUGGCAAUGCGGAGGGAGUUUAUCCAGCCAGUUGGGAAGAUCAUGACGUGCCAUUAAGUGCUGCUGUUUUGCCUGCUCUAUUACAGCUGUGGUCUGGAUUGCCUGCCCUCCAGUUGCUGCUGCUGCUUUGCCUCUUUGGUUAUAUUGUAAAUGUGGAUUGUAAUUCUGUUUUAACUGGUUCUUCCAGGUUUACCUUGUUAGAGCUAGGGUUUUUUUUAGUUUUGUGUGUUUUUUUUAAAGACUGUUCUGGGUUGAUACGCCACUAGGGAGGAAGGGAGCUUUGGUGUGGUGUGUGUGUGUGUGGCAGCAGGGCCCUGGUGUGUGUGCAUGGGGGUGUAGUGCUUUUGUUUUAGGAUGCCUGACUGCUUUACCUCCUGUCCCGUGUGCACCAGCCCAGAGGUUGUACUCUGUAUUGUGGACGGUGU